rnacentral:rRNA from 1 species
GACGAACGCUGGCGGCGUGCCUAAUACAUGCAAGUUGAGCGCUGAAGGUUGGUACUUGUCCCGACUGGAUGAGCAGCGAACGGGUGAGUAACGCGUGGGGAAUCUGCCUUUGAGCGGGGGACAACAUUUGGAAACGAAUGCUAAUACCGCAUAAAAACUUUAAACACAAGUUUUAAGUUUGAAAGAUGCAAUUGCAUCACUCAAAGAUGAUCCCGCGUUGUAUUAGCUAGUUGGUGAGGUAAAGGCUCACCAAGGCGAUGAUACAUAGCCGACCUGAGAGGGUGAUCGGCCACAUUGGGACUGAGACACGGCCCAAACUCCUACGGGAGGCAGCAGUAGGGAAUCUUCGGCAAUGGACGAAAGUCUGACCGAGCAACGCCGCGUGAGUGAAGGAGGUUUUCGGAUCGUAAAACUCUGUUGGUAGAGAAGAACGUUGGUGAGAGUGGAAAGCUCAUCAAGUGACGGUAACUACCCAGAAAGGGACGGCUAACUACGUG